rnacentral:rRNA from 1 species
CGAACGCUGGCGGCAGGCCUACCACAUGCAAGUCGAGCGAGGACUUCGGUUCUAGCGGCGGACGGGUGAGUAACGCGUGGGAAUGUGCCCUUCUCUACGGAAUAGCCCUGGGAAACUGGGAGUAAUACCGUAUACGCCCUAUUGGGGAAAGAUUUAUCGGAGAAGGAUCAGCCCGCGUUGGAUUAGGUAGUUGGUGGGGUAAUGGCCUACCAAGCCGACGAUCCAUAGCUGGUUUGAGAGGAUGAUCAGCCACACUGGGACUGAGACACGGCCCAGACUCCUACGGGAGGCAGCAGUGGGGAAUCUUAGACAAUGGGGGCAACCCUGAUCUAGCCAUGCCGCGUGAGUGAUGAAGGCCUUAGGGUUGUAAAGCUCUUUCAGCUGGGAAGAUAAUGACGGUACCAGCAGAAGAAGCCCCGGCUAACUCCGUG